CCAUCGUUUAAACCAUUAAAUAGCUAUAAAAAAUUAGGUAAUCUUUCAUUCUUCAUCGACACAAAAAACACAACCACAGUCAGGGAUCCCCUUCUGAUGCUUGGAACCUCAUUCUCAACAUAUCACUAAAAAGAUAUUCUCAACAUACCACUAACAAUAUAUUCUCAAAACUUCCCGUUGAUAUAUAUGCAUUGUUGCUGCUAAGUUAUGCAAAGAAAUGCUCUAAGUUGGAGUGAGGAGUUAUCAGAACCAAAUUAUCUAACUUAAAUGACACUGUUAUCAGAAAAUGGUUUGAUGCAAUGAUAGAAACAACACAGAUUCCACAUCUCUAGAGGAGAACAACAAAGAAACGAAAAGGAGUUAAGUUGUUCCAUCUUUUCAACAGCAUACCACUGUUCCAUUUCAACUUUGCAUUUCACUCUAUUUUUGUACUUCCCCUUAUAACCUCAAUUCUUCAUACCCGUGUCUCUGAAUUUGCAAUGGAUGAUCUGAAUAGUGAGAUCUUACCUACAAUGAGAUCCAAAGAACCGAAAGAGUUCACCUACCGGCUACCGAAGAUUGCGAGAUGUUGAGACAUGGAAAGAGGGAUAAAGCCUAGCAUGUGUGAUGAGAAUCACUCUCUUAGCCAUGAAGGCUCACCAUCUUCCACAUUUGAUGCACCAUCUGAACCCCAAUUUGGUUCCAGUGAUGAACCAAAUAGUGGAGAUAGGCAAGCCAUUCUUGGCUAAUAGAGGUAAGCUCCUCAUCUCCAUGUAAGGCUACCCUCCUCACAAGUUAGGUUUGCUCUGCUUAAUUGCCCUGGCUGGCUUGCCAUUUCACCUAGUGUGCACCAAAUAUUUAUAGUGCCUUAAUCUCUCUCUGAAUGCUUGCAAGUUGCAUGCCACAGUUCAGUUUUGACCAUUCUCCAUAGAUAUGUAGAAUAUAUUCAGUUGGCAUGCAGUCUUUUCAAGAAAAUCCUAGCUUAGCCAAGUUAGAUAUGAAAGGAUAGACAUGGAUUUAGGAUGCUAGAAACUGUGGAUAGCCUUUUUGUUUUCCAGUUUGCAAAUUUAUUCACAGGAGGAUGAUUGUUGUCCAUUGACCUGCAGUGCUCCCAGGGAAAUUAGUGUUUUUUUUCUUGCUAGAUUCUUGACUUGUCAGGAACACAGUGUUGCUCUUCUAAACAGAGACACAGUGUUGCUUGCAGCAUAUAUCGGACAUGAAUGCUAGUACAUAGCCUUUCCAUGAUUUUGUUAGGACAGGUUUACAAUUAUAAAUUCACAAAAAGAUAUAGGAGUACCUCUUAGUAAUAACCUAAACAAUGCGCGACCUCUGUCUUUGGUUAUACUUGAAUUAGUGUCAUGUCUCUCAGAAAUGUCAUUUUAGAAUUCAAUAAUAUUUACCCCCCCAAAAGAAUCCAAUAAUAUUACAUGUCAUAUAUUAGAAGAAAAAGAGUUUGCCAAAUACUCCUUCCGUUUUUUUUCUCUCAGAAAUGUCAUUUUAGAAUUCAAUAAUAUUUACCCCCCCAAAAGAAUCCAAUAAUAUUUCAUGUCAUAUAUUAGAAGAAAAAGAGUUUGCCAAAUACUCCUUCCGUUUUUUUGUUUGACGUCGUUGACUUUUUUUAUUUACGUUUGACCCUCAUCUUAUUCAAAAAUUUUGUCCAAAUAUACAAAAUUAUAAAUCAUACUUAAAGUUACUUUAGUAAUAAACCAAAUAUAAUAAUAUAGUCAAUAACUAUAUAUAUUUUUGAAUAAGAUGAAUGGUCAAACGUAGAUAAAAAAAUCAACGACAUCAAACACAAAAAGUCGGAGGGAGUACCCACGUUCCUAAAUGCAUCACCAAACUAGGUUAUCAUAACUGCCAAACCAACCCUUAGUCUAGUUUAAGUUUUUUGCUUGACACCACUGUCAAUAUGAUGAAGUUAUGAACUAUCAGUUUAAUUGCAGGCAUGUUGAAGUUGAUCACUUUAGCAGCCAAAUAUUCUGUUUGACAAGUUGCUGUGGCAAGAUUUGCAUAUAUACUUCAUUUCCUUUUUUGCUUGUUCCAUAUGAGGACAUCAUUCCUGUCAAGUGGGACAAGUUCUACAUUGCAGCAUAGAGUUGAAAGCAUGAAAGUAUACAAAAGUAUAAACUCCACAAUAAAAUGUUUGACUUGGCAUUACAUCCCCAACUUGAAAGAUUAUACCAUUACAAGUGGUUGAGAGGUGACAUUGUUUUUACUACUGCAAAAACGAAUAAAAAUAGUCAAAGCAUCUAAGGUACUAUUCUCGAAGAUAUUGCUAAUCCACAACAGAAUGUCAAUAAUAGCCAGCAAAACUUGUCAAAUCAGGAAUCUAUUGUUCAUUUGCUGCCAACUGUGUGCCAAGUUACUAAUGGAAGAAUAAAUUCCAGCAAAAUACUUUCAACUAAUCUAUUCAGCUUCCAUUCAGUGCAUGCAUCUUUUGGAACACCACACGUUGGACUUUGAUUUCACCCAUGAUGCAUUUAUGUGGUUAACCGUUAAAUGGAAUAUAAGAAAUAAUUUAUCACGAUUUGUUGGAAUGUUAUGUGAUUCAUGUUUUCGAUCUUCAUUUAAUUUUCUAAUCUUCUUUGGCAUGUUUCUAACGCAACACUAACAAAAGUUAUUCUUUCUUUUUCAGACAAACUAACAAA
rnacentral:lncRNA from 1 species